UGAGACCGGCGCACGGGUGCGUAACGCGUAUGCAAUCUACCUUAUACAGGGGAAUAGCCCAGAGAAAUUUGGAUUAAUGCCCCAUAGCAUUACGACUUGGCAUCAAGAUGUAAUUAAAGUUCCAACGGUAUAAGAUGAGCAUGCGUCCCAUUAGUUAGUUGGUAAGGUAACGGCUUACCAAGACGAUGAUGGGUAGGGGUCCUGAGAGGGAGAUCCCCCACACUGGUACUGAGACACGGACCAGACUCCUACGGGAGGCAGCAGUGAGGAAUAUUGGUCAAUGGUCGCAAGACUGAACCAGCCAUGCCGCGUGCAGGAAGACGGUCCUAUGGAUUGUAAACUGCUUUUAUACAGGAAGAAACCCUCCCACGUGUGGGAGCUUGACGGUACUGUAGGAAUAAGGAUCGGCUAACUCCGUGCCAGCAGCCGCGGUAAUACGGAGGAUCCAAGCGUUAUCCGGAAUCAUUGGGUUUAAAGGGUCCGUAGGCGGUCUUAUAAGUCAGUGGUGAAAGCCCAUCGCUCAACGAUGGAACUGCCAUUGAUACUGUAAGACUUGAAUGCUUAGGAAGUAACUAGAAUAUGUAGUGUAGCGGUGAAAUGCUUAGAUAUUACAUGGAAUACCAAUUGCGAAGGCAGGUUACUACUAAGUGAUUGACGCUGAUGGACGAAAGCGUGGGGAGCGAACAGGAUUAGAUACCCUGGUAGUCCACGCCGUAAACGAUGGAUACUAGCUGUUCGGAGCAAUCUGAGUGGCUA
rnacentral:rRNA from 1 species